UACGUAGGGUGCAAGCGUUGUCCGGAAUUAUUGGGCGUAAAGAGCUCGUAGGCGGUUUGUUGCGUCGGCUGUGAAAUCCCGAGGCUCAACCUCGGGUCUGCAGUCGAUACGAGCAAACUAGAGUGUUGCAGGGGAGACUGGAGUUCCUGGUGUAGCGGUGAAAUGCGCAGAUAUCAGGAGGAACACCGGUGGCGAAGGCGGGGUCUCUGGGCAACAACUGACGCUGAGGAGCGAAAGCGUGGGGAGCGAACAGG
rnacentral:rRNA from 1 species